GAACGAGAAAGGGGAGCAAUCCCUGAGUAAAGUGGCGACCGGGUGAGUAACACGUGACUAACCUGCCUUCGAGUGGGGGAUAACCUCGGGAAACCGGGGCUAAUACCGCAUAAUGCCUUCGGGUUAAAGGAGCAAUCCGCUUGAAGAGGGGGUCGCGGCUGAUUAGCUAGUUGGCGGGGUAACGGCCCACCAAGGCGAUGAUCGGUAGCCGGCCUGAGAGGGCGCACGGCCACACUGGAACUGAAACACGGUCCAGACUCCUACGGGAGGCAGCAGUGGGGAAUUUUGCGCAAUGGGGGAAACCCUGACGCAGCAACGCCGCGUGGAGGAUGAAGUCCCUUGGGACGUAAACUCCUUUCGACCGGGACGAUAAUGACGGUACCGGUGGAAGAAGCCCCGGCUAACUUCGUG
rnacentral:rRNA from 1 species